UUGAAGGGGCCCCUAGGGAAAGGGGAGGCAGUGAAGAAAGGAGUUAGGGAGAAGGGCAGGGGAGGGGGAUGCGGGUUCCUUCCCUAGUCUCAAUGUUGUUCCGUUCAUUAACUAUGACCUGAGCAACCACCCACUUGGUGCAGAGCAAUGACUCCAGGAAUCUUGCACUCCUUCCCUUGGAUGCAGGAGGAGAGAAGAACGGUGCAGAAUGGCAUUCGGCCCACCGCUUUUCUCUCUCCCUGGCCACGUUUCUCCUGCUGUUACGGGCCUGGGCAGUGAGGAAUAAUAAUUGGCCAUUCCAUGGAGCAUGCACCCCGAGUCCAAGUCUCCAUUUAAGGCAAACAGUUCUCUUUUUUAUAUCAUCUCUACCCUGCCAUGAUAGAAAACGAAGGGGGCAGAGUGUUGUCUGAUGAUAGCUUUUCCCACAGGAAAACCCAAGCUCUCUUGGGGGUGGGGGGGUGUCAUCACAAUCUCCUACUGAGAUGCUCCCAACUCCCAACUGCCCUUCCUCAACUGCCAUUUCUAACAGCCAUCCUCAGCCACUCCUAGAAAGGCUCUUAAAGGGCUGAAGGUAGUCUUAGACAUGGCUUAAGAGGGUUUUUGUUUUUAGUAUUUUUUGCCGUUUUGGACUUUUUUUGUUGGAUUUGAGGGUACUGCUUCCACAGCCUUCUGUGUUCAAUACUGUCCCCGCCAAUUAUGUUCUUUAUACUUUUUUUUUUAAACGUUCAUGGGAACUUUGGUCCCCUUUUCAUAUUUCUCACAGAAUUCCUAUCUCCCUGGGUGUGGGGGUGGGAAGAGGAACCAUCAAAAGAUUUCAGUGAAAUGUUUCCCUUGCUGGUGUCCAGAGCCCAACCUGAGGUGUGCAUGGCGGAAGAGUAAGAUCCUUUGGUACAUCUUGAAAUCCUCUAAAGCCCCUCCCCCAUCUUACAGGCCAAGAACUUGAAACACUCAGAGGUUUAAGCCACUGGAUCUGAGCAAAGGAGCCCUCCUAGUGGCCAGCUCUCCCACAGAUGACUCCCUGCAAUUGAGAAUUUAACUCUCUGUUAGCCCAGGACUAUUUCUUUCCCAAAGAACCUAGCCAUGGGUCCUUGUGAAGGCAUUAACUCAAGACAGUCCUGUUUCCAUUUAGGUUUCCUUCCUGUAAACCAACAUGGCAUCUCCUCUAAAAAUCCCCCAGCUGGAAAUUUUUGGCUUUGAGAAGUCUUAAGCUCUGGACCCUGCAUGAACAGGAUGAACCAGCAGGGGCCUUGAAUGAGAAGAGUGCCUCUGAGCCUAGAGUGGGGAAUCAGUAGUGUUCCACCCCAUGUCUGGCACCAGUCUCUCAGGCCUUGGUUUACCCUUGGCUUCCUGGAUCAAGGCUGGGCUUAAGGAGAGAUGACAUUUUGGCUGCUCACCAGGACAGGGAAUUCAUCAAUGUGGGUUUCCUGAGGUUCUUGGAAAGAUAAAUAAAGACUACAGUGGAGCACCACCUUGUGCCACAUGGCACAAAAAUCACAUUUCAAGUUUGGAUAUUUUCUACUGCUGGCAACCCCGCCAAAGCCUUCCCUUGGCUCUGCCCACCCCACGUGGGCCAUCCUUCCCUUCCCUGUCCCGGCAUUCUGUUCGGGCACCCCCCUCAAACACGUGACUGUGUUGUUUUGUUAACUAACCUCCCCAGGAUUGUUGGCACUACCAAAUGGCUGGGCACAGCUGCCCUCUUCAGGGUGAAUGUGGGAAAGCACGGGGGGUAGUGUUCAGGGGCUGGGGUACAAUAUAGAAUGAAGCAGCCUGUUUCUUCAGUGGUUUUAGGCCAACAUAGCUUUCCAGUUAGUCACUUAAAAAAUUGCACCACCCAAAUGGGAGGAUUCAGGGACCAGGAUAGCAUCAGAAGCAGCCAUUCUGGGAAAAACCAUUUUAGAUUGAUGGCUGCAAAGAAGCUUUGACUCCUCCUUCCAGAUUCCACAUGGUGUUAGUAGAGUACUGGGGCAUCCUCAGGAACCAGCUAAGAGCCCAAUUCCCUAGUUGUAAAGAGGAUCCUUGGAAUAAAGGAUUCAUCCUCUUCAAUCACACACAUAAGGAGGGAAAAACUCUGGAAAUGAUUCUUCUCUGUCGGUUUAGAAACCAAGAGUUGACUAUUUCCAUCACUGGUUCCCUCCCUUUCCAAGCUCUGGGAAUCACUGUGUGGGGUGAGAAGAGGCAGAGGGGAUUGUCUUGAGGGGAGGGGAAGGGUAGACAACAGGACAAAUAACAGCAAAAUGGGGAGGUUUGGCUAUAAGACAGACCAAGUGAGAGGAGAAGCCAGGACAGGUGAUGCCUUGGAUGUAUGGGAGUUUCCUCUGGGAACUCCUAAACUGGGAACAUCCCCACUUACCUAAUGUGAAUGUACAAGGAAGACUAUACAGGCAGAGAAAGGAUGAGAUUUUGACGUCAAGCUUGGAACUGAUAAGUUGUGAACCGGAGUGUGGGGAAAAGAAGUUGAGGUGCGUGCCACUGACCAUAAUGUAGGCAAUGUCUAUAACUGUUAAAGGUUUUAAAAGCACCUUACAUAUAAUUUCAUUUGGGCUUCAGCCUUGUGAUGUGGAUAGUACUGAUCCCCAUUUUUCAGAUAAGGAAAUUGAGGCUCAGAGUCUUAAGUGAUUUGUCCAUGGCAAUACAGGUAAUAAAUUUCAGAGACAAUCUGAGUCAAAGUUUCUUCUGAUUCCAAAUUUAGUAUUCU